AUAGCCUAUAUCCGAGUACGGAGUAACACUCCAAAAACGCUCACGGUGUCGGUGCCGGUGCCCAAGUCAUAAGCAAAUUGAAUUCCUUUAGAACCUCUGGAAUCUGGAACCUCUCAUAUGUGAUACGCAAAGCUCGAAUUGCAGAAGCUCGUUCCAGUAAUGAAUGACCUGUCAUCCCCGGGCCCAGGGCGGCCGCCCCUCUUGCCCUGGCUCAGGGACGGGCCUGCUUCUCAUUUCCAUUUGUUUGGAUUGUUAAAGAGUAGAAAAUAAUUUUCAAAGAAAGUAGCUCAUCCUUGGAGAAUGCCAAAUUUUUCUUCCUCUCCCCGACUUCCUCACUCUUCCAUUUCCAUUUUCUUAUUUCCCUCCAAUAUUUCUUUCAAGGAACCAAACAAAGGAAAAUCUAGGCCAAAGUUGUGUGUUCCCCUCGAAAAGCUU